rnacentral:rRNA from 1 species
CCUACGGGUGGCAGCAGUGGGGAAUAUUGCACAAUGGGGGAAACCCUGAUGCAGCGACGCCGCGUGAGUGAAGAAGUAAUUCGUUAUGUAAAGCUCUAUCAGCAGGGAAGAAAAUGACGGUACCUGAGUAAGAAGCCCCGGCUAACUACGUGCCAGCAGCCGCGGUAAUACGUAGGGGGCAAGCGUUAUCCGGAUUUACUGGGUGUAAAGGGAGCGUAGACGGCAGCACAAGUCUGGAGUGAAAUCCCGGGGCUUAACCCCGGAACUGCUUUGGAAACUGUGCGGCUGGAGUGCAGGAGGGGUAAGCGGAAUUCCUAGUGUAGCGGUGAAAUGCGUAGAUAUUAGGAGGAACACCAGUGGCGAAGGCGGCCUGCUGGACUGUAACUGACGUUGAGGCUCGAAAGCGUGGGGAGCAAACAGGAUUAGAUACCCCAGUAGUC